AUGUGCAAACCACUGACAGUGCAAAAAAAGUGUAGAAAAUUUGGUCAUUGGCAUUGCAAUAUAGGCACUUGGGGGUUAUUUUUCAGCCUUGGCUUAAAACUCCCAAACUUGGGUUCCUUUGCUUAAAACACCAGCAGCCCACCAGUGCUAUUUCCUCUGCUUUCACAAACACUCCCAACUCCUAUAUCUGCACCUCCCCUCCUCUUCACCCUUCACCACCACUGAUCUCCACCCGUCACUGCCACGGCAAGGCUAAUAAGGAGUAUCCUAAUAUUGCCCAAGACUAAGUGACACAGGGAUUUAAAUUGAAGCAUGGACACCUCAAAAUGAUUACAUUGACAUGUGAAAUGGGGACCUUACUCUAUGGUUUAAAAGAAAGGUGAGGUUAGUGCAAUGCAACCUCUGCAUUAAUCUAAAAGUUAAUUGCAGAGAUGCUGAAACUUGGCAGCAAAUAGUAUAGUCCUCUAAGGCUUAUCUUUUUCAUUUCUAAACAUUCUUUUGUCCUUCAUGAAGCAUUUAGCGGUGUUAAGAAAUCUUCUUUGCUAUGAUUGGAGCUAAUUUUGUUAUGAGUUGUUGAUUGUGUUGGAACUCAGCAUUCUUGAAGAUUCAACGAGGAACGGAUCAAGUCAUGGAGGACGAAGUUUCUGAUGCUACCAUAGCAACAGGGAGUCACUUCUAACUUUGGUUUUAACUGUGUAGUUGCAUUAGGGACAAUGCAACAUUUUAAGUUGGGGGAGGCUUUAUUUCGAUAGAUAUUUUUGUGAUGGGGUGUGAUAUGUCAUGAUGGAUGAUAAUUUGGUAGAUUGAUGUUAUUUUGGUAUUAUUUUUUUAAUGACAUUUAUAUUAGUAUAAUUUUUUUUAUUACUAUCUUCUUUAGUUUUUUUGUAGUUUAGUUGUAGGAAUGGUAUUGGGAUGUGAUUUUUGUCCCUUGACUAAUUUUUGGCUUGCUUGGUACCAAUAUAUUUAAACCUUGGCAUAUGAAUUCUUGAUUUUUGAACAAAAAAAAAAAUGAUUGAAGUAAGGAUUCUUUUGUGACUUUUAGAUUCAAUGUUUGGCUCUUUUGUUCACUAAUGGUCUCUUUAUACUAUAAGUGACUUUCUUUGAGUUCAUUUGUUUCAAUUGGAUUUUGGAUACAUUUUUCACUGGAUUUUUCAUGUGCCAUGUGUGGUGAGGUUAAUUGUGAGUUCUUUUGCAUUAGUUGUGGUCUAGAACUUGCCCGAAAUGUGUUUCAAGGCGAAAUCCUAGACCAACUUGGUUUGAAAAAUGAUGUUAGGCUUUCCUUGGACCGUUUUUGUGCCUUAAAUAUCCUACCCUUACAUGUUUUCCCUAGUCAACCCUUUUUGAGCCUUUAACCUUUUCUUUGACAACCAUGUUACAAGUUUUACCCCGUUCUUCAUUGAUCCAUCUUUUGGUACCCUACCUCCUUAAGUGCGUUGAAAAUACAAACAUAGGCUAAAUGCCUGAGUUUGGGGGUGAUGGUUGGAAAAAGUUGUUAUGUGGGAGUUACUUUAAAUGUGAAAAGGUGAAAAAAAAAAUGAAAGCUUCUUUGUUAUUUUGGAAAAAAAAAAAGAGAAAAAGAAAAAGGAGGGAAUAAUAAGAGUUGUGAGUAAAGAGAAGACUAGGUGGUGAAAUGAAAAAUGAAGAAAGGGGUAGAAAAGUUUCAAAGGAAGUGUGCUUUGAAUGUUGAAAAUUGUAGUGGUUAGGGAGGUUUUGAGUCACUUUUACCCAAAUUGUGUCCUACCUUAACCGAAAGCCUACAUUAGAACCCUUUAAGUCCUAAUUGAUUUUGAACCAAGUGUGUCUACAUUAAUGGAGAAAUACAUAAAGGGCAAGCUUAUGGUACUACUUGUGUGCAUGUGAACAUCUUUGCGAGAGAGAGAGUUAAUUCUUUCUAUUUGAUAUCCAUUUGUGUUUUGAAUUACAUUUUCUAAGUGUGGGAUUCUCUCUUGAGUGUGAGGGCACAUGAGAAUUUAAGUUGUGAAUUUGUUCCAUUUUCCAAUUGAGAGGAAUGAACAAAAGAAAGUCGUUUUGUGAUAAUGAGGAAAAUUUUGAAGCUUUAGUAUCAUGACUUGAUUGCUACUUUGAUUAACUUGGUGUUUGAGUACUUGAAAUGAAAAUGAAGUUUUUGAGAAGAAGUUGGUGAUUCAUAUGUUUUGAAUUAAUUGUUGGUACUAAUCAAAGUCAUGUUUUUGUGCUUAAAGUAGACUUUUUGACUUGGUAUGAUGUUGGUGCACUAUUGAGUCGAUUCCUUAGAAGGAGAUUGUAUGUUUUGAAUUGCUUGAGGACAAGCAAUAGUUUAAGUUUGGGGGUUUGAUAAGUUGGUAUUUUACCAACUUCUCUUUUUUAAUCUUAUAUUUUUGCUAUGUUUGAUUGAGAAAAUAGUGAAUUUAAUAUCUUUUACAUCUAUUUUACAGGUUUUAUAUGAUUUAGAAGUGAUCGGAAGAAAUCAAGUGAAAAUAAAGUAAAAACGAGGCCAAAUUGGACAGAUUUGCAAAACUGUCAAAACUGGACAGUUUUGCAAAAAGGGGACAGAUUUGCAAAAAUGGGCAGAACUGCAAAAAUUGAAAUCUGGGGCAUAUUUUGUCAUUUUUUGGAUUUGGAAAAAUUAGGCAACUAUAAAAGCAAGACUUGGUGAAAUUAUUUAUCAUCUUUAGCCAUCUUCCAAGCUUAGAGCAAGAAACUACACUAGGGUUUGAAGAUUUGGAGGCACACAAUGAGAAAUUCUUUACCCAUUUCUUCAUCUCUUGCUAUUUAUUGAAUAUUUAUGUGUGUAGUAUUUCAUUUCAAUACGUGAACCUUGUUUAUGGAAGUAUACAUUGUUUAAGUUUGGAUUGAAUCUCUUGUUUUGCUUA